rnacentral:rRNA from 1 species
GGAGGUCCGAACCCACGAGCGUUGAAAAGCUCGGGGAUGACUUGUGGGUAGCGGUGAAAUUCCAAUCGAGCCCGGAGAUAGCUGGUUCUCCCCGAAAUAGCUUUAGGGCUAGCCUCAAGGUGAGAGAUACGGAGGUAGAGCACUGAAUGUCCUAGGGGGUAUUGCACCUACCGAAGACUAUCAAACUCCGAAUGCCGUCAUCUUAUACUUGGGAGUCAGACUGUGGGUGAUAAGAUUCAUAGUCGAAAGGGCAACAGCCCAGAUCGUCAGCUAAGGUCCCUAAAUGUAAGUUAAGUGGUAAAGGAUGUGGGAUUGCACAGACAACCAGGAUGUUGGCUUAGAAGCAGCCACUCAUUCAAAGAGUGCGUAAUAGCUCACUGGUCGAGUGAUCCUGCGCCGAAGAUUUCCGGGGCUAAAACUUACUACCGAAGCUACGGCAUCAGUAAUGAUGGGUAGGGGAGCUUCCCAUACGGGUUGAAGCAUGACCGUAAGGACAUGUGGACAGUAUGGGAGUGAGAAUGUUGGCAUGAGUAGCGAGAUGUGGGUGAGAAUCCCACAGGCCGUAAACCCAAGGUUUCCAGGGGAAGGUUCGUCCGCCCUGGGGUAGUCGGGACCUAAGCUGAGGCCGAAAGGCGUAGGUGAUGGACAACAGGUUGAUAUUCCUGUACUACCGAUAACCGUUUGAGAGAAGGGAUGACACAGUAGGAUAAGCUAAGCACACUGUUGGUUAUGUGUGCCCAAGCAUUGAGGCAGUCAAAGUAGGCAAAUCCGCUUUGAUAAUGCUGGGAUGUGAUGGGGAGCGAAAUUUAGUAGCGAAGUAGCUGAUUUCACACUGUCAAGAAAAGUCUCUAUCGAGGUUAAAGGUACCCGUACCGCAAACCGACACAGGUGGGUGAGGAGAGUAUCCUAAGGCCA